AGCCCUAAAUUACAUGUGACACUCCUUUGGGACCUUCACCAGACCCUUCACAUCAUUACCAGUAAGGUGCUUCUACAGGAACCCAGGACACUUGUACAUUCUCACAACAUCAGAAUCUUCAAGAAAUCUCUAUUUUGACACAAUUCUGCACAUGGCCUCAACAGUUUGAUAAUAGUGAUUGCUGAGUCCUUGCCAGUGUCUGGCAGCAUUAUCCCAUACUUUGCAUAAGGUGAUGUAAAAGGCAAGGCACCCACUACUUGGAAUAUAUACGCUUCAUUAUUUAGUCCCAAGAAGAACACACUUACAAGUCAUCGUUAGAAGUAAACAGUGUGCAUAUGUGAUCAGUCAUUGAAGAAUGAACUUGCUUAUCAUGGACAUCAAGAGCCAAUGGAAGAGGAGAUUUUUCCCUAGGGAGAGGAGUGUACAGAGUGAUAAGCAUAAUGGGAACUCCAGUUGUUCACCCAAAUCCAGAAGCAGGAGGCUUCAAUACUUGAUGGAACAACUCCAGAAAAGAAACUUUGGAAAAGUUCUAAGGGGCCAUGGCAGAACUUCUCUGGAUCCGAAAUUUCUGAAAGACCUGGACUGUUACUGAAAGAGCGUGACUUAUGUCCUGCCUUCGUCUAGGAGAAUAUAAAAGGGCACUAAAGUUAUAGAACAGAGGCUGAAAUAGUCAAGUUUUCAGUGCUUCCUAGACUCCUACACUGGCCAUCUUAGGUCUUGUUAGCAUGACUUUUAGUUCUUUUUGUAUAAUAAUUUUGUUUAAUACAGAGAUGAUUACAUAAUAACAGCUAAAAUUACUUGUUCAUAAUAGGUGUUCGAUGACAUUGUAUUUGGAUAAAUAGAUAGAUAUUACUCUGUAUAAAACAAAAUAAAGUUGGAAAAUUACUU